UUGUAACCAAGAGCGCUUAACUCAGUUGGUAAGGGGGUUGCCCCCAUGACUCCAAGGCUAUGGGUUCAACCCUCAGUGCCCCCCAUGUGAUGUUUUCUCUUUUUUAUUCUUUUUCCUUUUUAUUAUUUUUGAACCUAUUUAUUUUCAUUUUCAUUUUUUCACCCUUUAUUUUAAUUAUGAUUAAAAUAUUUCCAAUGCAAACCCUCAUU
rnacentral:lncRNA from 1 species